GACGAACGCUGGCGGCGUGCCUAAUACAUGCAAGUAGAACGCACAGUUUAUACCGUAGCUUGCUACACCAUAGACUGUGAGUUGCGAACGGGUGAGUAACGCGUAGGUAACCUGCCUGGUAGCGGGGGAUAGCUAUUGGAAACGAUAGCUAAUACCGCAUAAUAUUGAUUAUUGCAUGAUAAUUGAUUGAAAGAUGCUAUUGCAUCACUACCAGAUGGACCUGCGUUGUAUUAACUAGUAGGUGAGGUAACGGCUCACCUAGGCGACGAUACAUAGCCGACCUGAGAGGGUGAUCGGCCACACUGGGACUGAGACACGGCCCAGACUCCUACGGGAGGCAGCAGUAGGGAAUCUUCGGCAAUGGACGAAAGUCUGACCGAGCAACGCCGCGUGAGUGAAGAAGGUUUUCGGAUCGUAAAGCUCUGUUGUAAGAGAAGAACGGGUGUGAGAGUGGAAAGUUCACACUGUGACGGUAUCUUACCAGAAAGGGACGGCUAACUACGUG
rnacentral:rRNA from 1 species